AAGAAGCCCCGGCAAUUACGUGCCAGCAGCAGCGGUAAUAAGUAGGGGGCGAGCAUUAUCAUGAAUCAUGAGGCGUAAAGCGAGCGCAGGCGGGCUCUCAAGCGGUGGCGUCGAAGCCGGGGGCUCUACCCCCGGAAGCGCUCCGAACUGGAAGCAUCGGAUGCGGCAGGGAGAGGCGGAAUUCCCCGGAGUAGCGGUGAAAUGCGCAGAUAUCGGGAAGAACACAGACGGCGAAGGCAGCCUCGUGGGCUGGCAUCGACGCUGAGGCGCGAAAGCUGGGGGAGAGAACAGAAGUAGAUACCCCGGUAGUCCCACCCGCAAACGAUGGCCGCUAGGAGUGGGGGGAACAUCCGUCCGCGCUGAAGCCAACGCAUUAAGCGUCCCGCCUGGGGAGUACGACCGCAAGGCUAAAACUCAAAGGAAAUCACGGGGGCCUGCACAAGCAGCGGAGCAAGUGGUUUAAUUCGAAGCAACGCGAAGAUCCUUAGCCGGUCUUGACAUACGGGUCAAGCCUGAGAGAUCCUUUGGCCCAGAGGAGACCAUACAGGUGGUGCACGUCCGUUGUCAGCUCGUGCCGUGAGUCGGUGGCAUAAGUCCCGCAACGAGUGCCACCCCCGCCGCGCGUUGUCAGCAUUCAGUUGGGCACUCUCGCGGGACAGCCUGGCGUCAAGCCGGAGGAAGGCGGGGACGAGGCCAAGUCAUCAUGCCCCUCAUGCCAUGGGCCUCACACGCGUUUCAAUGGCCGGCACAACGGGUUGCCACCCCUCGAGGGGGAGCGGAUCCCUAAAGCCGGCCCCAGUUCGGAUUGCAGGCUGCAACCCGCAAGAGCGAAGCCGGAGUUGUUAGUAAUCGCGGAUCAGCACGCCGCGGUGAAUACGUUCCCGUCCCUAGCACA
rnacentral:rRNA from 1 species